UACGUAGGGUGCAAGCGUUAAUCGGAAUUACUGGGCGUAAAGCGUGCGCAGGCGGUUUUGUAAGUCUGACGUGAAAUCCCCGGGCUCAACCUGGGAAUUGCGUUGGAGACUGCAAGGCUGGAGUCUGGCAGAGGGGGGUAGAAUUCCACGUGUAGCAGUGAAAUGCGUAGAGAUGUGGAGGAACACCGAUGGCGAAGGCAGCCCCCUGGGUCAAGACUGACGCUCAUGCACGAAAGCAUGGGGAGCAAACAGG
rnacentral:rRNA from 1 species